rnacentral:tRNA from 1 species
GGGUCGUUAGCUCAAUUGGUAGAGCAGUGGACUCUUAAUCCAUUGGUUGUAGGUUCAAGUCCUACACGACCCACCA